GUCAAGAUACUUCAAGAGAGUUGACUCCGUUUGCUUUCAUUCUUGACUCUGGCUUUGUAAGAUCUUUUAAAUAUGAAGACAAUCAAGCUGCUUUUAUUUUUUAAGAGAAGCUUAUUUCCUUGGGUUUUGGAUGGAAACAGCUAUCAACACAUGUGUUCUUCCCACCUUGUUCAACUGGAACUCAGAGAAGCCUUCAGUCAUUUGCAAUGUUGUCCUCUUUCCUCAUCUGGAGAAGAGGUAGGGGACAGAGAGAAGAGAAUUAUGCAGAAAAUAAAGAACAAAAAAGAGGUGAGAUGACCUUUUUUUAAACUUUUAUUUAAUGAAUAUAAAUUUCCAAAGUACAGCUUAUGGAUUACAAUGGCUUCCCCUGCCCCCAUAACUUCCCUCCCACCGGAAACCCUCCCCUUUCCUGCUCCCUCUUCCCUUCCAUUAGAGAGGACCUUUUUAUAUGGAAAUCUGUUUGAUAUAAGGAAAGAAAAUAGAGACUGGCGUCAGAAAACUUAGGUUCAAGUUUCCUCUCUAGCUGUGUAAGCUUGUACAGGUUAAUCACUUCUUAUCUUAGUUUCCUUAUAUCAUUAGAACAUUUAAUAAUCCCUCUAUGGGUGAAGUAAGAAUUAAGCGAAAAAUCAUACAAAGCAACAGUCAUACGUAUUGGCUCAUUGACUCACCUGUCAUGGCUAAUGUCUCAUUGUUUAAACUUUGUAAAUAUUCUUCUCUUCCUUAUUUUUUCAAAGUUCUUAAUUUAUGACACAGAUUGUUGUUGCCAGUGGAGCCCUUAAAAGAUCUAUUUUCUGGAUUUAUAUUCAUAUUGCAUUGUCUUCGGGAACAUUUUAAAAAAUAAACCAAUGAUUGUUUUUGAUGCUUCUCUAUGA
rnacentral:lncRNA from 1 species